rnacentral:rRNA from 1 species
GAACGAAGCCUUCGGGCUUAGUGGCGGACGGGUUAGUAACGCGUGGGAAUGUACCCUUCACUACGGAAUAGUCCCGGGAAACUGGGUUUAAUACCGUAUACGCCCUUCGGGGGAAAGAAUUUCGGUGAUGGAUCAGCCCGCGUUAGAUUAGGUAGUUGGUGGGGUAAUGGCCUACCAAGCCUACGAUCUAUAGCUGGUUUGAGAGGAUGAUCAGCAACACUGGGACUGAGACACGGCCCAGACUCCUACGGGAGGCAGCAGUGGGGAAUCUUAGACAAUGGGGGAAACCCUGAUCUAGCCAUGCCGCGUGAGUGACGAAGGUCUUAGGAUCGUAAAGCUCUUUCAACUGUGAAGAUAAUGACGGUAGCAGUAGAAGAAACCCCGGCUAACUCCGUGCCAGC